UAGUCCACGCCCUAAACGAUGAAUGUUAGCCGUUGGGACUUAAGUUUCAGUGGCGUAGCUAACGCGUUAAACAUUCCGCCUGGGGAGUACGGUCGCAAGAUUAAAACUCAAAGGAAUUGACGGGGACCCGCACAAGCGGUGGAGCAUGUGGUUUAAUUCGAUGCAACGCGAAGAACCUUACCACCUUUUGACAUCCUGAUCGCGGAGUUUGUAAUGAGCUCUUUCAGUUCGGCUGGAUCAGUGACAGGUGUUGCAUGGCUGUCGUCAGCUCGUGUCGUGAGAUGUUGGGUUAAGUCCCGCAACGAGCGCAACCCUCAUCCUUAGUUACCAGCGGGUUAAGCCGGGGACUCUAGGGAAACUGCCCGUGACAAGCGGGAGGAAGGUGGGGAUGACGUCAAGUCAUCAUGGGCCCUUACAAGGGUGGGGCUACACACGUGCUACAAUGGGUGGUUACAAUGGGGACGCUACACGGCGACGUGAUGCUAAUCUCUAAAAGCC
rnacentral:rRNA from 1 species